rnacentral:rRNA from 1 species
GUGAGGAAUAUUGGUCAAUGGGCGGGAGCCUGAACCAGCCAAGUCGCGUGAAGGAAGAAGGAUCUAUGGUUCGUAAACUUCUUUUGCAGGGGAAUAAAGUGCAGGACGUGUCCUGUUUUGUAUGUACCCUGAGAAUAAGGAUCGGCUAACUCCGUGCCAGCAGCCGCGGUAAUACGGAGGAUCCGAGCGUUAUCCGGAUUUAUUGGGCUUAAAGGGUGCGUAGGUGGUUUGAUAAGUCAGCGGUGAAAGUUUGCAGCUUAACUGUAAAAAUGCCGUUGAAACUGUCGGACUUGAGUGUAAAUGAGGUAGGCGGAAUGCGUGGUGUAGCGGUGAAAUGCAUAGAUAUCACGCAGAACUCCGAUUGCGAAGGCAGCUUACUAAGCUACAACUGACGCUGAAGCACGAAAGCGUGGGGAUCAAACAGGAUUAGAAACCCCGGUAGUCC